GGUUAUUACUGACCUGUGAGUGUGUGCUUGCAGGUGCUUGAGUUCACGUAGAGAUCAACUUUCUUUCAUAGAUGUAGUUCCUGGCUGUGAGACAUAUUGGCUGAAGACUCAGCAGUGUCAAUGCAGCUGACCUGAAGGGUUCACCAUGAGAAAGGCUGGACCAAAAUGGCAGCUCAGGACUCUACUCAGAGACCAGAUGUUCUUAUAGGGCCAACUCCUGUUUUCUUCGGCAGAAAUAAGGAAACAGUUUACUCUCCCACCAAACUUUGGCCAGUGCCAUCGACAGAGCAUAAGUACAUCUGGCUUCCCCUCUCUUCAACUAGUAAGUAUGAGUUAGAGUUUCGCU